rnacentral:tRNA from 1 species
GCCUCAGUAGCUUAGCUUAAAGCAUCGGUCUUGUAAUCCGAAGAUCGGAGGUUAAACUCCCCCCUGAGGCCACAAC